rnacentral:rRNA from 2 species
UGGGGAAUAUUGCACAAUGGAGGAAACUCUGAUGCAGCGACGCCGCGUGAGUGAAGAAGUAUUUCGGUAUGUAAAGCUCUAUCAGCAGGGAAGAAAAUGACGGUACCUGACUAAGAAGCACCGGCUAAAUACGUGCCAGCAGCCGCGGUAAUACGUAUGGUGCAAGCGUUAUCCGGAUUUACUGGGUGUAAAGGGAGCGUAGGUGGCAAGGCAAGCCAGAAGUGAAAACCCGGGGCUCAACCGCGGGAUUGCUUUUGGAACUGUCAUGCUAGAGUGCAGGAGGGGUGAGCGGAAUUCCUAGUGUAGCGGUGAAAUGCGUAGAUAUUAGGAGGAACACCGGAGGCGAAGGCGGCUCACUGGACUGUAACUGACACUGAGGCUCGAAAGCGUGGGGAGCAAACAGG